rnacentral:lncRNA from 1 species
GGUAGGAUCAUUACUGUUCCAUAAGUUUUUACUGUUAUUUUUUUUACUAUUUCUUAUUUGUUGUAAGUGAUGUAUGUCUGCAAUUUUUUCUAGAUUUUAAAUUAUUUCUAUCCUGCAAUUUUUAUUCACGGGAUCACUCUAAAACCUUGAGUGCUUAAACGUCGAAUGCUUUUCUUUUGCUCUAUAAUGAUGUUAGGGAAAGAAGUAUAAAGAAAGUGAGAAAAGGACACAAAAUAAGAUCAGAUUUUUCAUUUA